UACGAAGGGUGCAAACGUUGCUCGGAAUUAUUGGGCGUAAAGCGCACGUAGGCGGCUUUGCAAGUCGGAUGUGAAAUCCCACGGCUUAACCGUGGAAGUGCAUCCGAAACUGCAGAGCUUGAGUACUUAAGAGGAUCGCGGAAUUCUCGGUGUAGCAGUGAAAUGCGUAGAUAUCGAGAGGAACACCAGUGGCGAAGGCGAGUCCCUGGACAACUCCUGACACUGAGGCACGAAAGCUAGGGGAGCAAACAGG
rnacentral:rRNA from 1 species